AUUGGUUCUUGGCUCUCUGUGAGCUAAGAUCAAGCAUAGUAGCUGGUCUUAUCAGUUUAAUAUCUGAUAGGUCCUUUAUUUGAGGAUUGUAUAUUAAAUUCAUUUUUGAAACAGAGGGCUGGACUAGGAGCUUACUCUGUCCACUCCAUGCAACAACCUGGUAUUACAUUGUCUCCAGGCCUGGUGCACCUCCU